UCCAGCCCACGCGUGUGGACCGAGGGUGGUUUGUCUUUCCCUUUGGGAAGAACCCAUGGUGGGUGUACCUGGCCAGCGCGCUGCCUGCCCUGCUCGUCACCAUCCUCAUCUUCAUGGACCAGCAGAUCACAGCCGUCAUCGUCAACAGGAAGGAGCACAAGCUGCGGAAAGCAGCAGGCUACCACCUGGACCUCUUCUGGGUGGGCAUCCUCAUGGCAGUGUGCUCCUUCAUGGGGCUGCCCUGGUACGUGGCAGCCACCGUCAUCUCCAUCGCCCACAUCGACAGCUUGAAGAUGGAGACAGAGACCAGCGCUCCGGGGGAGCAGCCCCAGUUCCUGGGGGUCAGGGAGCAGAGGGUGACGGGCAUCAUCGUCUUCGUGCUCACAGGGAUUUCUGUCUUCCUGGCCCCGAUUCUGAAGGUAAAACACCCCCCACUGCCUCAUCCCUGCUCUGC
rnacentral:lncRNA from 1 species